UACAGAGGUCCCAAGCGUUGUUCGGAUUCACUGGGCGUAAAGGGUGCGUAGGUGGUGGGGUAAGUCGGAUGUGAAAGCUCGGAGCUCAACUCCGAAAUGGCAUUGGAAACUACCCUGCUAGAGGAUUGGAGGGGGGACUGGAAUACUUGGUGUAGCAGUGAAAUGCGUAGAUAUCAAGUGGAACACCAGUGGCGAAGGCGAGUACCUGGACAAUACCUGACACUGAGGCACGAAAGCGAGGGGAGCAAACAGG
rnacentral:rRNA from 1 species